rnacentral:rRNA from 1 species
UACGGAAGGGGCAAGCGUUGUUCGGAAUCAUUGGGCGUAAAGGGCGCGUAGGUGGUUUUGUGUGUCUACCGUGAAAGCAUACAGCUCAACUGUAUUUUGUCGGUAGAAACUGCAGGACUUGAGGCUGGGAGGGGCUGGUGGAAUUCCCUGUGUAGCGGUGAAAUGCGUAGAGAUGGGGGAGAACACUCGUGGCGAAGGCGGCCAGCUAGACCAGUUCUGACACUGAGGCGCGACGAGCGUGGGGAGCAAACAGG